GAUAGGUCUUGUCUAUUAUUUCCCAAAAGAAGACACCAAAGAGAGCGAGAUUCUUGUUAUCCAUGAUAACAGUUUUUGAAGAUUCAAACCCAAUAUGAGUGAUUGAUCAAUUAUUUAUUGUCAACCUCUAGUAGUAAUAUUAGCUAAGACUUAAGAGUAUUAUAUUUUUUUUUUUGUUUACAAAUAGAAUAUCUAUUUUAGGUAUCCUAAAGCUUAAGUGGUUUUAACUAUAAUAUGUACGAGACCAGUAUAAAUCAAAUCAUAACAAAACAUUUAAGGUAUAUGUAUAUACGACCAAUAUUCAAAUAUUGUACACUAAUUUUUGCAAAACUUUAGUUUCUAUCUUU
rnacentral:lncRNA from 1 species